GGGGAUAUAGCUCAGUUGGUAGAGUGCUUGCCUUGUAUGCAUAAGGCUCUCGGUUCAAUCCCCAGCAGCACCA
rfam:Ictidomys tridecemlineatus contig033973, whole genome shotgun sequence.